AGUUAUGGCGGCUGUGCGUGGGCAGGCUUCGGCCUGGCCGGUUCCCUUGGAUGCCGGUUGUGAGAUCCCGCGUACAGUCGCCUCCAAU
rnacentral:antisense_RNA from 1 species